GCCAAACAGCUAGCUCAAAGAACUUUAAAAAUUAACAACAUUAAUAAUAAGACAUUAUUUUAACCACUAAACUAAAUCAUUCUUUUACCUGAGUACGGGAGACAGAAAGGGUCAAACUUGAAGCAAUAGAAAAAGUACCGCAAGGGAAAGCUGAAAGAGAAAUGAAACAACCCAUAAAAGCAACGAAAAGCAAAGAUUAAAUCUUGUACCUUUUGCAUCAUGAUUUAGCAAGCACCCUCAAGCAAAGAGCCCUAUAGUUUGAAACCCCGAAACCAAGUGAGCUACCCCGAGACAGCCUAUAUAAAUUAGGGCCAACCCGUCUCUGUGGCAAAAGAGUGGGAAGAGCUCCGGGUAGAAGUGAUAGACCUACCGAACUUGGUGAUAGCUGGUUGCUUAAGAAAUGGAUAGAAGUUCAGCCCCAUACCCCCUCAAGUCAAAACGCCUUGCCAAAUGACCAAGAGAAAAAUAUGGGAGUUAGUUGAAGGGGGUACAGCCCCUUUAACCAAGGAUACAACCUUUUUAGGAGAAUAAAGAUCAUAAUUCAAAAGACUUACUGUUUUAGUGGGCCCAAAGGCAGCCAUCUGGACAGAAAGCGUUAAAGCUCAGACAGAAGACAGUCUAUUAUACCGGUAAAAAAUCUUAUUUCCCUUUUAUUAUUAAACCAACCCAUGCCCCCAUGGGAGAGAUUAUGCUAAAAUGAGUAACGAGAAGGCCCGCCCUUCUCCCAGCACACGUGUAAGCCAGGUUGGACAAACCACUGGAAAUUAACGAACCCAAACCAAGAGGGCAAUGUGAAUCAUAAAGAGAUCAAGAAAACCCCACAGUUAAGAAUCGUUAACCCCACACCGGAGUGCCACAAAGGGAAAGACUAAAAGAGGGGGAAGGAACUCGGCAAACACAAGCCUCGCCUGUUUACCAAAAACAUCGCCUCCUGCAACUUUUUAUGUAUAGGAGGUCCAGCCUGCCCAGUGACUACGGGUUCAACGGCCGCGGUAUUUUGACCGUGCAAAGGUAGCGCAAUCACUUGUCUUUUAAAUAAAGACCUGUAUGAAUGGCUAGACGAGGGCUUAGCUGUCUCCCCCCUCCAGUCAGUGAAAUUGAUCUAUCCGUGCAGAAGCGGAUAUUAUAAUACAAGACGAGAAGACCCUUUGGAGCUUAAGGUACAAAACUUAAUCACGUUAAACAACUUAACAAAGAGAUAAGAACUUAGUGAAACAUAAGACUUUACCUUCGGUUGGGGCGACCACGGAGUAAAAACAAGCCUCCAAGAGGAACGGGCAUAUGCCCUAAAGCUUAGAGAAACCUCUCUACGCCGCAGAACAUCUGACCAACAAUGAUCCGGCAUAAAGCCGAUCAACGAACCAAGUUACCCUAGGGAUAACAGCGCAAUCCUCUCCCAGAGUCCAUAUCGACGAGGGGGUUUACGACCUCGAUGUUGGAUCAGGACAUCCUAAUGGUGCAAAUGCUAAAAUGAGUAACGAGAAGGCCCGCCCUUCUCCCAGCACACGUGUAAGCCAGGUUGGACAAACCACUGGAAAUUAACGAACCCAAACCAAGAGGGCAAUGUGAAUCAUAAAGAGAUCAAGAAACCCACAGUUAAGAAUCGUUAACCCCACACCGGAGUGCCAACAAAGGGAAUGUUGGAUCAGGACAUCCCAAUGGUGCAGCCGCUAUUAAGGGUUCGUUUGUUCAACGAUUAAAGUCCUACGUGAUCUGAGUUCAGACCGGAGUAAUCCAGGUCAGUUUCUAUCUGUAACGCUACUUUUCCCAGUACGAAAGGAUCGGAAAAGAGGGGCCCAUGCUUAAAGCACGCCCCACCCCUAAUUAAUGAAAACAAAUAAAGUAAGUAAAGGGAGGGCCAAAGCCCAACGCCAAAAUAAGGCUAU
rnacentral:rRNA from 1 species